rnacentral:rRNA from 1 species
AUGCCCAGAGUCCAAAAGCUCGUGAUAGGGUUCAAUUCAAGCAAAUGGAAACCACAUACCUUUGGAACUGCUGGCUUCUGUCACUUAACAGGCCUUACAGAGGUCUCUGUAAAACUUGGGACCUGGGGUACUGAUGAAUUGGACAUUAACGAUGCCGAGUCUAAAUUGGUGACCGCAGUUAGCAAUCACACGAAUUCUCCUAUAAGCAGAGUACAAUUCGUAGAUAUGAUUUCCUAUGGUGUGGAUGAUAAGAGAACUGCGACUGAAGAAAAACGUGGGGGCGGGGGUGUUGAUAAAUUCGGCAUGAAAGCUGCCAAGUCUGCAUCAUACUCUCGCAUAAGCAAUCACAUGAACUCUUCAAUAAACAGUUCACAAUGGUCUGAUGUGAUUUCUUGUGGCAGUGGGAAUAAGAGUAGCAUAGCUGAAGAAGUGGAGGAAAAGCUACACCAGAUUCGAGACCGACAGAAAAAGAAGAGGGAAAGAUCGGUGGAACAGCCAUCUGUUCUAUCUUUUUUUCCUGAAAAAGAAGUUGAAAAGCCAUAUGAAAUUGAAUAUCGCAAUAAAAAGAUCAAAUAUUUGGAGGAACGCGUGCACAAGCCAUUAGUAAAUACCAGAUAUGUGAGAAAAGAUGGUGCUUCCACUCCUCUGAAGCAUCGCACACAAUCAGCCAACCUUGUGACGGGUGCCUUUAGCUCCCUCCUCCCCAAGAUCCUGGAGCUCCUCAAUGACAAGUACGAUCUGCGGAUGGACAUAAAAAAAAACAUCGAGUCCCUCUACAAGGAGCUGGAGGGUAUGCAAGCUGUCCUCCAUGACUUGGCGAGGAGGGAACAGGCUCAACUGGAUGCUGUGGUCAUGAUCUGGGCCAAGGAAGUAAGAGACCUCUCGUAUAAUGUGGAGGAUAUGAUCGAUUCCUUAACAGGGGAAGAGAUAAGAGGCUUGUCCGAGAAGACCCCGUUCUUCUUCCUCGUGAACGACACUGACUUCAUCUAUGAGAACAGGGAAAAGGUCAUCAAUGAGAUCAGGGAAAAGGUCAAAGGUGUGGCCAGCCGACGUGAGAAGUACAAGGUUGAUGACCGGAUUGUUGCUGCUUAUCCAAAAGCCACAGAUAACGUUGAUCCUCCCCUGUUGGAUCUGUUCCAAGAGUCGGAAGAAGUUAUUGGCAUCGAAGCUCAAGUGGAAGAGGUGAUAAGGCAGCUGAAAGGACACGAUUGGGACAACAACAAUAACAAGCUGAAGAUAGUCUCCAUAGUUGGAAUGGCAGGAUCGGGCAAGACAACUCUUGCGAAAGCAAUUGCCAAAGCAGUUCCCAAAGAAGUGCUUCAUGAUACGGUUUUCGUUUCCGUAUCUCAGGAUCCCAACAUGAAGAGAGUUCUCAUGGACAUCCUCCUUCAAAUUGACGAGCGGGAGUACAGGAGUCUCACUGGAUCAACGUUCGAUGCAAAGCUGCUUAUAAAUAUAAUCCGGAGAGUAAUUGGGAGCAAGAGGUACUUCAUUGUUAUUGAUGAUAUAUGGGAUGUGAAGUCAUGGAAAUUUAUAAAGGAUGCUUUAGAUACUCGAUGUGGAAGUAGAGUAGUCAUAACCACAAGGCUUUUGGAAGUUGCUGUCAAUGCUGGUGAUGUUUACAAGCUAAAAGCACUUUCUCAUUCGCACUCUGGAGAAUUGUUUAAUACAAGAUUAUUUGGUGGCAAAGACAAUGUCCCUCGUGUCGUGCCGGAGGUACCUGAAAAGCUUUUACAGAAAUGUGGUGGUGUACCAUUAGCUAUCAUCACAAUGGCUAGUUUGUUUGCGAGGAAACCAAGGAACUAUUGCUCUAAGGUUUUUCCGGAGGACUAUUUAAUAACGGAAGAAACUUUGAUCUGGAAGUGGGCAGCCGAAGGUUUAAUUGUUGAGGAACCAGGAAGAGGGUUAUUUGAGAUUGGAGAUGGAUACUUCAAGGAACUCAUAGAUAGCAGCGUGGUCAUGCCAGUGGAGGAUGACUCAGAUUAUGGGACAAUUGUUGGUUGCCGUGUCCAUUACUUGGUUUUUGAUAUGAUCUGUUCCUUAUCAGCUAUAGAAAAUUUUGUUACCAUAGAGGAUGGAAGCAGUCAAUACUCUCUUAUUGAAAGCAAGCAGGCUCGCAGGUUAGGUAUCCAAAAGUGGACCACGGAGAACGGCGACCCUCUGGCUAACAUUGGCUCGAGAAGUCUGAGGUCAUUUAAUACCACGGGGUGUCGUUUUAGUGUGGAACUAUCACUUUCAAGGUUUAAGCUCUUGCGUGUCAUUGCUAUCGAAGAAUGCACAUUGCUUGAUGGCGAUCUUUCUCCUCUGGGGAAGUUAAUUUUGUUGAGGUACCUCGGACUAUAUCACACACUUAUCAAGAAGCUACCGGAAGACAUUGGUGAGCUAAUUUAUUUGCAGACACUGGACCUGAGGGGGACCAGGGUCCAUGGAUUGCCCUGGGAAGUUACUCAGAUAAGUCAGCUCAAGUGCCUGCGAGCUGAUGGAGACACAGCAAUGCCUUACGGGAUGGGAAAACUUACAUCCUUAGAAGAGCUGCGGCUGGGCGCGAUUGACACGUCGGCAGACUUUGUGGAUGGGUUGGGCAGACUGACAGAGCUGAGGGAGCUCGAGAUUCGGAUUAACCAGUUGGAUGUGAACGAGGCGGGAGCUUUGGUGCAGUCUCUGAAAAAACUAGAGAAAAUCCAAGUCCUAAGACUUGUGGGAUUUCCUUGGCCACCAUCUCGUGUUGACGAGCUCAACUGGGGAAACUUUGAUCCGCCUCAACAACUCCGUGAGUUGCAUCUAAGCAUCCCAUCCACUCGGCUGCCGGCGUGGGUUCACGUCUCCCGUGUUCCAAUGCUCUCACACUUAGUUGUGAGCCUCAAGUCUAAGGAGGAUCAGGAUUUGGAUAUUCUUGGUGCUUUGCCAGAGCUCAGUAGUCUGCAGCUGGUGCUGCCGUCGAAAGUGGUCCUCAGCAUCACUGGUCGUUCCGGUGCAUUCCCGAGGUUGAGAAAGUGGAAGUGGAAAUAA